GACGAACCCGUGCAAACGUUGUUCGGAAUCACUGGGUUUAAAGGGCGCGUAGGCGGUCUGCUAAGUCGGUGGUGAAAUACUUCAGCUUAACUGGAGAAUUGCCGCUGAAACUGGCAGGCUGGAGGGAGGCAGAGGUGCGUGGAACUUCCGGUGGAGCGGUGAAAUGCGUUGAUAUCGGAAGGAACGCCUGUGGCGAAAGCGGCGCACUGGACCUCUUCUGACGCUGAGGCGCGAAAGCUAGGGUAGCGAACGGGAUUAGAUACCCCAGUAGU
rnacentral:rRNA from 1 species